CGGCCCGCGUCUGAUUAGCUAGUUGGUGAGGUAAUGGCUCACCAAGGCUACGAUCAGUAGCUGGUCUGAGAGGAUGACCAGCCACAUUGGGACUGAGACACGGCCCAAACUCCUACGGGAGGCAGCAGUGGGGAAUCUUGCGCAAUGGGCGAAAGCCUGACGCAGCCAUGCCGCGUGGAUGAUGAAGGUCUUAGGAUUGUAAAAUCCUUUCACCGGUGAAGAUAAUGACUGUAGCCGGAGAAGAAGCCCCGGCUAACUUCGUGCCAGCAGCCGCGGUAAUACGAAGGGGGCUAGCGUUGCUCGGAAUUACUGGGCGUAAAGGGAGCGUAGGCGGACAUUUAAGUCAGGGGUGAAAUCCCAGAGCUCAACUCUGGAACUGCCUUUGAUACUGGAUGUCUUGAGUGUGAGAGAGGUAUGUGGAACUCCGAGUGUAGAGGUGAAAUUCGUAGAUAUUCGGAAGAACACCAGUGGCGAAGGCGACAUACUGGCUCAUUACUGACGCUGAGGCUCGAAAGCGUGGGGAGCAAACAGGAUUAGAUACCCUGGUAGUCCACGCCGUAAACGAUGAUUGCUAGUUGUCGGGAAGCUUGC
rnacentral:rRNA from 1 species